rnacentral:rRNA from 1 species
AUGUUGUUUUCCGAGACGCAAGACUCUUAUGCUCAUGAAGAAGAAGCUUGUUCCAUCACUAUCUUGGAAGAUGGGAAGUCUAGAUUUCAAGAGAUUGUUCCUUCAAAUGCUGGAAAUGUUCUUGGUACUGAAGAUAACAUUCUGACAAAGAAGCGGGUAUCACUUAUUGAUCACCAGGUGAUGAAUAUAUUGGUGGGGAUGCAAGAAAUGGACCAUAUUUUUCACCAUUCCCAUAUGGCUAUCGUACUUCAACACCUAUGGAAGAAGAUGAUGAGCAGCCAAAUACUUCUAGUUCCUAUUGUAAAUAAAGCAAAAGAAGUUUUGUGGCAAAGAUGCAGACCGCAAGACCAAACUAAGCCUUCCAUGAGUCUCUCAUUUUUUGAAGCUCUCACAAAGAAGUUAAGGCUUUCGUAG